rnacentral:rRNA from 1 species
GGCGUAAGCGCACGCACGCGGGUCUGUCAAGUCGGAUGUGAAAAUCCCCGGGCUCAACCUGGGAACUGCAUUCGAAACUGGCAGGCUAGAGUCUUGUAGAGGGGGGUAGAAUUCCAGGUGUAGCGGUGAAAUGCGUAGAGAUCUGGAGGAAUACCGGUGGCGAAGGCGGCCCCCUGGACAAAGACUGACGCUCAGGUGCGAAAGCGUGGGGAGCAAACAGGAUUAGAUACCCUGGUAGUCCACGCCGUAAACGAUGUCGACUUGGAGGUUGUUCCCUUGAGGAGUGACUUACGGAGCUAACGCGUUAAGUCGACCGCCUGGAGAGUACGGCCGCAAGGAAAAAACUCAAAUGAAUUGACGGGGGCCCGCACAAGCGGUGAUGCAUGUGGUUUAUUUCAAUGCAACGCGAUGAACCUUACCUGCUCUUGACAUCGAGAGAACUUACAAAAGAUGCAUUGAUGCCUUCGGGAGCUCUGAGACAGGUGCUGCAUGGCUGUCGACUGCUCGUGAUGAAAAAUGUUGGGGUUUUGUCCCGCUGGCGUGGCGCAAUGAAAAACCAAUUUAUUGCCAGCGG